AACACACAUUGCGCCCUUCGGUAUUCCGAAGGGCAUGCCUGUUUGAGUGUCAUUAACCUCUCACCUCAAUCAUUUGUGAUUGUUGUCGGUGUUGGAAUUUGCGUAGGAUUCGUUUCCAGCGCUGUUCUUAAAUCAAUUGGUGCAGCCCGCUGCUCAGUUACACAACGUUCUAGGUUCGUCCAACUCGUUGCGAGACUGUGGCAAUCAAUGGUUGCGGCACCUUAAGCUUGACCGGUGCUUCUAAGCUCCGUGUCUCAUCUUUUUAUUGACCUCAGAUCAGGUAGGAAUACGCGCUGAACUUAA
rnacentral:misc_RNA from 1 species